rnacentral:rRNA from 1 species
GAUGAACGCUGGCGGCGUGCCUAAUACAUGCAAGUCGAGCGAACAGAUGAGGAGCUUGCUCCUCUGACGUUAGCGGCGGACGGGCGAGUAACACGUGGAUAACCUACCUAUAAGACUGGGAUAACUUCGGGAAACCGGAGCUAAUACCGGACAAUAUAUUGAACCGCAAGGUUCAUUAGUGAAAGACGGUUUUGCUGUCACUUAUAGAUGGAUCCGCGCCGCAUUAGCUAGUUGGUAAGGUAACGGCUUACCAAGGGAACGAUCGGUAGCCGUCCUGGAAGGGUGAUCGCCGACACUGGAACUGAGACACGAUCCCGACACCUACGAGAGGCAGCAGUAGUGAACCUUCCGCAAGGGUCGACAGCCUGACAGAGCACCGCCGCGUAAAUUAUGAGGGGCUUCGGAUCGUAAAACACUGUUAUUAGGGAAGAACUAAUGUGUUAGUAACUAUGCACGUCUUCACGGUACCAAUGCAGAAAGCCACGCCUAACUACCUG